rnacentral:rRNA from 1 species
AACGAACGCUGGCGGCAGGCCUAACACAUGCAAGUCGAACGCCCUAGCAAUAGGGAGUGGCAGACGGGUGAGUAACGCGUGGGAACCUUCCCAGUGGUACGGAAUAGCCCAGGGAAACUUGGAGUAAUACCGUAUAAUACCCGAAAGGGGAAAGAUUUAUCGCCAUUGGAUGGGCCCGCGUAGGAUUAGCUAGUUGGUGAGGUAAUGGCUCACCAAGGCGACGAUCCUUAGCUGGUCUGAGAGGAUGAUCAGCCACACUGGGACUGAGACACGGCCCAGACUCCUACGGGAGGCAGCAGUGGGGAAUAUUGGGCAAUGGGCGAAAGCCUGACCCAGCCAUGCCGCGUGAGUGACGAAGGCCUUAGGGUUGCAAAGCUCUUUUGGCGGGGACGAUAAUGACGGUACCCGCAGAAUAAGCCCCGGCUAACUUCGUGCCAGCCGCCGCAGUAAGAC